AAACUGAAGAGUUUGAUCAUGGCUCAGAUUGAACGCUGGCGGCAAGCCUCAUACAUGCAAGUCGAGCGAGAACGUUACUUCGGUAGCUAGUAAAGCGGCGGACGGGUGAGUAACGCGUAGGAAUCUACCUUUCAGCGGGGGAUAGCUCGGGGAAACCCGAAUUAAUACCGCAUACACCCUAAGGGGGAAAGAGGGCCUAUCCUUGGAAGCUCUCGCUGUUAGAUGAGCCUGCGUGAGAUUAGUUUGUUGGUGGGGUAAUGGCCUACCAAGACUACGAUCUCUAGCUGGUCUGAGAGGACGAUCAGCCACACUGGGACUGAGACACGGCCCAGACUCCUACGGGAGGCAGCAGUAGGGAAUAUUGGACAAUGGGGGCAACCCUGAUCCAGCUAUGCCGCGUGUGUGAAGAAGGCUCUAGGGUUGUAAAGCACUUUAGGUAAGGACGAAAAGAAUAUAGUUAAUACCUAUAUUCCGUGACUUAACUUACAGAAUAAGGACCGGCUAACUCCGUGCCAGCAGCCGCGGUAAUACGGAGGGUCCAAGCGUUAAUCGGAAUUACUGGGCGUAAAGCGCGCGUAGGCGGUUUGUCAAGUUGGAUGUGAAAUCCCUGGGCUCAACCUAGGAACUGCAUUCAAAACUUAUAGACUAGAGUACGAUAGAGGAGAGUAGAAUUCCUGGUGUAGCGGUGAAAUGCGUAGAUAUCAGGAGGAAUACCAAUGGCGAAGGCAACUCUCUGGAUCGACACUGACGCUGAGGUGCGAAAGCGUGGGUAGCAAACAGGAUUAGAUACCCUGGUAGUCCACGCCGUAAACGAUGAGAACUAGCCGUUGGAUCUUAGAUUCAGUGGUACAGCUAACGCAUUAAGUUCUCCGCCUGGGGAGUACGGCCGCAAGGCUAAAACUCAAAUGAAUUGACGGGGGCCCGCACAAGCGGUGGAGCAUGUGGUUUAAUUCGAUGCAACGCGAAAAACCUUACCAACCCUUGACAUCUAGUGAAAUUUCUAGAGAUAGAUUUGUGCCUUCGGGAACACUAUGACAGGUGUUGCAUGGCUGUCGUCAGCUCGUGUCGUGAGAUGUAUGGUUAAGUCCAGUAACGAGCGCAACCCCUAUUCUUAUUUGCCAGCACUUCGGGUGGGAACUAUAAGGAGACCGCCGUGUAUAACACGGAGGAAGGCGGGGACGACGUCAAGUCAUCAUGGCCCUUACGGGUUGGGCUACACACGUGCUACAAUGGGAGAUACAGAUGGUUGCGAAAGCGCGAGCUGGAGCUAAUCCCAAAAAGUCUUCCUCAGUCCGGAUUGGAGUCUGCAACUCGACUCCAUGAAGCAGGAAUCGCUAGUAAUCGUGAAUCAGAAUGUCACGGUGAAUACGUUCUCGGGCCUUGUACACACCGCCCGUCACGUCAUGGGAGUGUGUUGCACCAGAAGUGGUUUGCCUAACCUUUGGAGGGCGGCCCCCACGGUGUGAUACGCGACUGGGACGAAGUCGUAACAAGGUAGCCCUAGGGGAACCUGGGGCUGGAUCACCUCCUAA
rnacentral:rRNA from 1 species